ensembl:lncRNA
CCUGACCACAUGCUGCAACACUUAUUUAUUCAUUUAACAAAUACUCACUGAGCCACGACUGAGUGCCGGGUGCUGGCCUAGUGAAGAAUAAGACAGAACCAGUCCCUGCCUGUAGGGAUCUGACGGCUUAGCCUGGUAAACAGAACAGUUCUCCAGUGGAGGCAUGAGGGGCUCUUCUUGAGGGUCACCAUAGUGGUGAAGUGUGGGUGUUGGGGGCAGCAGAUUGAAUCCCAGCCCUGCUGUUCUCUAGCCAUGUGAAUUUGGGCUAGUUAUCUCACCUUGUGGAAACUCACAUUUCUCAUCCUUAAAAUGGGGAAGAUUCAUAGGGGUUAUUAUAAGUAAAUGCAUUCAUACAUGUAACGCAUGUGUAGGGACUCAGGGUGAGCACUCAGUAAAUGGUAGUUAUAACUAGUAUUAUUAGAAAUGAUACAUCUUACAGUAUAUGGGUGUGCCAUACUAUUAUGUACGCCUGUGAGCAUGCUGGUCACUUUAGUUGUGUCCAACUCUUUGUGAUUCCAUGGACUGUAACCUGCCAGGUUCCUCUGUCCGUGGAUUCUCCAGGCAAGAAUACUGGAAUGGGUUGCCAUCCCCCGCUCUGGGGGAUCUUCCUGACCCGGUGAUCUUGUGUCCCAGCCUCUUAUGUAUGUCUUACACUGUUGUUAGGAAGUGAACCCUUUAUAGUGUAAGGUGCAGCAUUCCUAUAUAUUUUUAAAAAUUUAAAGUGAAAUUAAGACCAUCUUUCCCUAUCAUCUUUCCCUUCAUCACAAAGAAAAGGCGGGGCAAAGAAAUCACCCUUCCUUGCUUUGUAUCUGUAGGGUGGCAGACGCUUAUUAGAAAACCUUUACUCCUCCCAACUGUCAAAAAAAAGUAGGGAUUUUUACAACCCAUCAUACAGUGUCAAGGAGGCCAAUCUUAAGAGAGGUUAGGUAAAUUUGCCCAAUAUCACAUAGCUAAUAAAUGGCUGAGCUGGAAUCAAAGCCAAGUCUUAUCUGGCUGCAAAGUCCAUGUUUUAUGCAGCAAAGCCCUUACCCUGAGGACUGCACUUGCUGCUCUGUUGGUUAUCCCUUGCUUUCUUGAAGUUUCUGCUGCAUGUUGGCCACACCUAUUCUUGUUAUGCACUCUGACCUGGAUCCUAAAGUGAGAAGAGGUGGCCCAGGACAUCCUGCUUCCCCAAGGAGACUGAACAGCUUGUUCUGUACCUCCAAGGCCAUUGGAUACCAGGCAGAUGGUUGUGCGUACGAAAAUCAUUCAAGAAAGAGACACAGGAAUGGCGUUCACUCCUCUCUGACUUUGAUCCUAAGUCUGAAGCCUGUGUGGGUUUUCUUGGCCCUGCCAACUUUUCUUUAGCUACAUUCAUCUCAGCCUUUCAUAUCUGCUGGUUGGACUUUCUGGUUUUUGAUGAAAGUAGCAAGAGGCUGAGGAAACAGUAUGACCAGAGGAGAGGGGAGAAGUAUGGAAAUUUGAGAGGCCCAGGAACUGGAAAGUCCUGUUGAAGACUCCGAGCUCCCUGGGAUUAGGUACAGGUUCUUUUUAUUUCAGUAAUAAUAACAACAUUAUUCUAAGAGAUUCCUCUUAGAAUUUCUCCACGAAAACCUUAGGAGAUAGGCAUGUCUUCUCCUAGAUAGAAUCCUGGGAGAAAGGCACCGUAACCAUCCCUGUUUUAUAGACCUGGAAAUUGAGGCAGAGAGAGGUUCAGUCACUUGCUGAAAUCACAUGGUGUUUGAACCCGGGGUUUCUUCAGACCAUGAGUUUAAGCAUGUCAUAUUGCUUUUUGGUAGGAGUGAAUGAGUGAGUGAGUGAGCUAGUGAACCAAAGGAGUCUGGGAUUUGGUUCUUUUUAAAAAUAAUGUUAUUUAUUUAUUUUUGAACUGUGCUAUAUCUUUGUUACUGUGCACGGGCUUUUCUCUAGUUGCGAAGAGCAGGGCAUCUACUCUUUGUUGCAGUGCUCAGGCUUCUCAUUUCAGUGGCUUCUCUUGUUGCAGAGCAUGGUCUCUAGGGCACACGUGCUCAAGUAGUUCCAGUUCCUGGGCUUUAGAGCACAGGCUCAGUAGCUGCAGUACACGAGCUUAGUUGCUCCGAGGCAUGUGGGAUCUUGCUGGACCGGGGAUUGUCUCAGUGCCAGUGUCUCAUGCAUUGACAGGCAGAUUCUUUACCGCUGAGCCACCAGGGAAGCCCUGGGAUUUGGUUCUUGCCAGAACAAGGCCCUGAGAGGCAAUGUGCCAACAGGUAUGCUUUGGAGUCAGCAGAAUUGAGUUGGAAUUCAAGCUUGCUACCUCCUGCCUGCAUGACCUUAGGCAAGUAACCUGAUGUAGAAGUGCUCAUUUCCUUAUCUUUAAGUGGGAAAAGUAAUCCUUUUCUCCUAGGGUCUUUGUGUGGAUUAAAUGAAAUCAUCUCUAUAAAGCUCUUAGCCCCAUACCUGGAAUAUAGUAAGUUCAUAAAGGCUCACUAUUAGUAUUACUAUUACUGAUACCAUGCAGAUAGAUUGUAUUAACGUGAAACAGUUGCAGCUAUAUAAAUUUGAAACUCCCUGUUGAUAAGGACUAGAAGGGAAUAUGAAAACAGUUGUUAAAGGAUGGCUGAAAGGGAAUUAAAAGUUUCUUUAAUGCUUCAUAAAUUUUUUAGUAAGUGUUCCUGAAUGAAAUAAAUAAAACAUACAUGCAGUGGGUGCUCAACAGGCCUUUGCAUGUAUGAAUGAAAAACAGUCUUAACUUUUUAAAUUAAAAAAAAAAUUUUUUUUGACCAUGCACUGAGGCUUGUGGGAUCCUAGUUCCCGGACCAGGGAUUGAACCUGUGCCCUUGGCAGUGAAAGCUGGGAGACCCAGUCAUUGGACCACCAGGGAAUUCCCUAAUUUUUUUUUAAUUGGUUGAAUUGUUGCUUAAAAAUGUAUGAUAGUGGAUAUCCUUGGUGGGGGGGGGUAUUACUGAAAGGGGGCCUGUGCAAGAAAGAGUGAACACUGCUGGCCUGAGAUGAUAACCCUGUACCUUGCUGAAUUUACUACUAGGGGUUUGAGUACAUUUGCAAUGAGAAAAAAAGGGAAGUUUUUAAAAAAUGGCUUUGUAUUUUGUGGCCAUUUUAUCUGGAGAUACGAUAAAAUUGACUUAUAAUGUUACAUGCUUGUAAUUCCAUAAGUGCUAGUGGAGCCAUCUCAAACAUACAAAAUUUAAAUUAAGAAGGUAUUGGUGGGGUAUAGCUUCCUUGCUUUUCCUCUCCAUAGGUAGGUUGGAAUUUAAAUUCUUUGGAUUUUAGAACCAGAACAAGUCUCCAUACCUGAUGAUUUUUGCUAUGAUUUGUGUCUGUUGAAACCUCUGCAAAGAGGGUGACAACAUAAGAAGAGAGGCACUCUCUGAAUAGAAACACACAUUUGGAUUUUGAAAAAGCAGUUAGUUAAGUUUCUCAUUGGCCCUUGUUGAAAUCAGAUGUCUGACCCUUAGAGGCUGAUGAUUGUUCAGUCUGAUAUGCAUGUUUUUGAGUGGGUCAGUUUGGACUCUGAGACUGACAAAAGGGGUACCAUGCUGUCUGGCACUGCAGCACGCCUUUGCUGAAGAAAAGUACCCACCUUGAUUGGAAUCCCCAGUUCACUGACCCUUGUUGCCUGGACCUCACUCUAAGCUGAAACCUGAUGCUGGCUGUCAGUACACUCUCUCAGCUUCCCAAGGAGCAGUGCUGAACUGAAAGCAGACCCAGACUCCCUGCGCAGAACUCAGGCGGACGCUGGGACCACUGGAGAUUUAGGGCCCCUCUCUGGAGCUCUGAAUGAUGACAGCGUACAUUGUGGAUGCUGGCUGUACCAACCGUGUCACAUACUAAUGCCCACAGGAAGGAGCCAUUCUUUGAUGGGACCGUCUAAAAUCAAGCUGCUGAUCAGCUCUUUUAUGUCUAAUGCAGAGGCUGAUUGCAUCCUGACUUGUGAUCUCUGCCAAAACCUGCAAGUUGGAGGAGGGCACAUCACAGGGACUCUGACCGCCGGCCGCCUCCUGCUUUUGACAUAUCAGAUCUGGGCCUUCCCUGGGGGUGGCUCGAUGCUUUUGAUUUCUGUGCUCUGCCUCCUGGCCCUUCUGGAUGAAAGGCCUGGAUGAGAAUAAAAGAUUAUUGAAAAAAUGUCAGGUUAGUACUGCUGAUCAAAAGCCUGGCACCCAGGGAGCUUUGGGGGGCGGGGAGAGCAUUUAUGAUCUUCAUUUCUCAGGAAUAUUCUGGAAACUUUCCCCUUUUCCUGAAGGAAAGCUCCCAGUGCCAUCAGCUGGAAGAUUGGCCCUCAGCUGGCAUCUGGGUUCUUGAAUUUCAGGAGAGUUCUCACCAUUCCCUAAAUGAUAGGAGUUGCUUACUGAACUUAAACUGUGUAAACAGUGUGGUUUAUCCUGCAUGCCUGCUUUCCUUCCAGGAAUGUAGAAUUUUGGUGUGUUACAGGCAGAGGGUGCCUGUAUGACCAAGCCCCAGAAAAGCCCCGGGCUGGAGUCUCUAAUGAGCUUCUCUGGUAAAUAACAUUUCAUACAUGAUGUCACACUCAUUGCUGGAGGAAUUAAGUGUGUCCUGUGUGACUGACUCCACUGGGAGAAGACUUUGGGAAGCUUGUGCCUGGUUUCCUCUGGAUUUUGCUCUGUGCACCUUUCCCUUGGCUGAUUUUGCUUCAUAACCUUUCACUGUAAUAAAUCCUAGCCAUCUAUGAAUAGGACUAUAUGCUGAGUCCUGUAGGGGGAUGGUCUUGGGGCCCCCAACACAGGGCACAGAGGGGACUAUGGGGUUGUUGGUCCUGUACUCUUUCUCAGUCUGGGUGCUGCUUACAUGAGGUGUACCCAUUUUGUGAAAAUUCACUGAGCUGUCCAAUUAACAGAUAUAUACUUUUUUGGUACAUAGAUUCAACUUUAUAAAAAGAUAAAACAAUAUUACACACCACAGGGAUUAAAAAAUAAUAAUUAAAAAAAACUUCCUUUUUUUUAUAAAGCAUUUUAGUCACUCCUUUUUGCCAGGCAUUGUGCUGAGAGCUUGGGACAUGGGGUAGGAAAGAUGUCUUCAUUGCCUCUGAGUUUAUUGGGAGUUAUGUAAGAGAUAACUGCGAUAUGACUGACUUUUGCUGACUCCUUGCAUUGGAGAAGGAAAUGGCAACCCACUCCAGUGUUCUUGCCUUGAGAAUCCCAGGGAUGGGGGAGCCUGGUGGGCUGCCGUCUAUGGGGUCGCACAGAGUCGGACACGACUGCAGCGACUUAGCAGCAGCAAAGACAUCAUAGGAUGCUGGGCUUAUAACUUGAGUGAUUCUCAGGGUUGCCACUUAAGUAUCUGUGGAAGCCAGACAGGCAAAGGGGCAAAGGAGGGUUAGCAGGGAACUCUGACAAACUGGGAAGGUAUGUUAAGCAUAGAGUUGCAACAGCUAAUAGUUUUUUCUUAAGGAAAAGCCACAAAGCUUAAUUUUUAUGUGAGCUCUCUUGAUUUUUUCAGUCCUGUCUAUGAAUCCAAAUUUUAAAAAGUGAAAGACCAAACAAAACACCUCUGCAGCCAAAUUUGACCUUGGCUUACCAGUUUGCCAGGCAUUCUGCCAACCUGACAUCUUUCCCUCUUACAAAACAAUUGAGGGUCCAUUAUUUUAGGCACUGGGAGAUAGAGCAGUGAGCCAGCCAGACAGUUUUCUUGCAGAAUGACCCUGGCGGGGGUGGUGGGGUUCUGGUACUGUACUUCUCAAACUUCAAUAUGGG